rnacentral:lncRNA from 10 species
UCCUCAGGGCCCUUCCCUUACUCACCCGUGCUGCCAGGAUCUACAACCAAUGCCAGGCUCCCAGGCUGCCCUGCCCUCCUCAUGGACCUCCACAACGCCACCCCUGCCUGCCGCCCCCAUCUUCCCCUCCUUGAGGGCCAACCCACAGCCCCUCCCCCACAGGCCCAGUGUACCCAGACCUGAUCUACGCUGGCUUGAAGGCAGGAUGGGGUCAGAUUUGACUCUGUGUCCGCAGAGUCCGGUGACUGGACAGUCCCCAGAUCUGGGGCCCCGUGGAGCCUGGUGAAGUGACAAUGGUGUGUGCCUAGGACUGGACCCCUCCUGCAAUGUCGGCAGCCUGGGGACAGCCCUGCAGAGCUCAAAAUCACACCGGCUUUCAUAGCACCCCACGGGCAGAGAGCGCUCCCUAGCCCAGCUGCAGCUCCUGCCACCCCGCCCGCUGGCUGUGCCCCAAGGCCAUCUCCUUCUUGGGGAACUUUGCUGACAGUGGCACCACAUUCUGAAGGUUUUUCCUGCCUUUCUCCUCAGGCUGCCCUCCCGGCCUGUGGGUGGUCUGCUGGCCCAGGAGGCCCAGGUGGAACCUUACCUCCUCCCCACGCCCCAUUCAGCAGCCUCACGAGCCAAUGCCAUGCUGUAGGAGUUGAACCUGUCAUUUUCAACACUCCCUCCCCUUUUGGGCACUAAAUUCCCUCUCAAAAAUUGCAUUUGGCUUCAAACGUGGAAAUAACGCUGGCAUGGUUGGGAAUUUUAUUUCUGUCUCCCACAGAAGCAGCCAGGCCCAGGUGACAGCCCACAGUGCCCUCAGGCCCCUCCGCUCUGGUGGGCGUGGCCCUCACCCUCAGGACUGCCUCAGGGCCCUAGAAGGCCGAUGGAGAGCCAGACACCUCCUCCACCUCGUCUGUUUGCGCAAGAAGCAAUAUGGAAAGGAAAAGCCUACCUGCCUGCCCCUUUAAGGCAGUUUGCCAGAUUUGGCAGGAACUUCUUCAGGUAUCUCACUUGUCUCAUGGGACCCUGCAGGCUCCUAGAUAAGAUUGCUGGAUCCCUGCAGCUGGCUGCCCCGGCUGCCGACCUCUGUGCACCUCAGGGCGGCCUGAGGUCAGGGCUGGUCAGCAGGGCCCGGCAGGAAGGAGGCUGCACACAGCAGGAGGAGCCGACAAACCGGCACCUGCGGGAUGCCUGCAUCCCUGUCUUGCUUCUCCUGACCAUCAGUGGCCUCUGCCAACCAUGGCCCUGACCUCCUGCCUCCCAAAUCCCCGCUGCCUCACCUCUGACCCCAUCUGUCUGCUCUAGAAGCACACAGGUGGGGAUUCUUGGAAGUGUGGGUCCUGGCAGAUGGUGUCAGUAGAACACUCCAGAAUGUAGCGUCAGAAAUUGGCCUUGGACACUCAGGCACAGCACCUGCUUCGAGAAGGAAGAGCAGAGGCCCCUGGAAGGAGGGGCUGGGCAAGGGGUGGUGAGAAAGGGGUGCCCUGGAAGGUGAGGCCCUGCCUGGCUCUCGGGGUGGGGAUGGAGGCCCCUCCUCCCAGGACGCUGGGGCUGCACACUUCCAGCCCCAUUCAAACGCUGGCCCACAAUAACCACUGUCCAGCCUGCAUGCUGCUCAAGUGUUGUUACCGCCCAUGGUAGCUAUCUCACCCUUUUUUUUUUUCUGAGAUGGAGUCUCACUCUUGUCACCC